rnacentral:rRNA from 1 species
CCCUACGGGAGGCAGCAGUAGGGAAUCUUCCACAAUGGGCGAAAGCCUGAUGGAGCAACGCCGCGUGGGUGAAGAAGGUCUUCGGAUCGUAAAACCCUGUUGUUAGAGAAGAAAGUGUGUGAGAGUAACUGUUCACGUUUCGACGGUAUCUAACCAGAAAGCCACGGCUAACUACGUGCCAGCAGCCGCGGCAAUACGUAGGUGGCAAGCGUUAUCCGGAUUUAUUGGGCGUAAAGGGAACGCAGGCGGUCUUUUAAGUCUGAUGUGAAAGCCUUCGGCUUAACCGGAGUAGUGCCUUGGAAACU